GACGAACGCUGGCGGCGUGCUUAACACAUGCAAGUCGAACGGAAAGGCCCUGCUUUUGUGGGGUUCUCGAGUGGCGAACGGGUGAGUAACACGUGAGUAACCUGCCCUUGACUUUGGGAUAACUUCAGGAAACUGGGGCUAAUACCGGAUAGGAGCUCCUGCUGCAUGGUGGGGGUCGGAAAGUUUCGGCGGUUGGGGAUGGACUCGCGGCUUAUCAGCUUGUUGGUGGGGUAGUGGCUUACCAAGGCUUUGACGGGUAGCCGGCCUGAGAGGGUGACCGGCCACAUUGGGACUGAGAUACGGCGCAGACUCCUACGGGAGGCAGCAGUGGGGAAUAUUGCACAAUGGGCGGAAGCGUGAGGCAGCAACGCCGCGUGCGGGAUGACGGCCUUCGGGUUGUAAACCGCUUUCGCCUGUGACGAAGCGUGAGUGACGGUAAUGGGUAAAGAAGCACCGGCUAACUACGUG
rnacentral:rRNA from 1 species